GCUGGCGACCAUAGCAAGAGUGAACCACCUGAUCCUUCCCGAACUCAGAAGUGAAACCUCUUAGCGCUGAUGGUAGUGUGGGAUUACCCAUGUGAGAGUAAGUCAUCGCCAGCU
rnacentral:rRNA from 1 species